rnacentral:lncRNA from 1 species
ACUGAAAAGCAAAAAAAAACUAUUCUUAGGUGCAUCGGCCUAGAAGUCAGUGUCUAAUGGAUGUAACUAAGUUUAUUUCGCCACCGACUUCUAGGCCGAUGCACCUAAGAAUAGUUUUUUUUUGCUUUUCAGUGUUUUUGGGAGUCGGUUUUAUUUUUUUGUAAAAAGUUUUUUAUUUUUAGCUUUUCAGUGACAAGCAUAGUUGUCACUAUCCGCAUAAGUGUAAAGUUCUUAUCAAUACGAACAAUAUAAGCCCAAACACGAGGUAGUUUACACAUUCAUUGUUCAAGUUCCCUCAACCUUCUCUGGACUUCAUCAUCAGGUCAGCUUCAAACCUUCACCACUGCAUAGUGUUAUCAGACAUACGCCUUAGUGUCAAGCUUUUACCCUACGUAUGCCUACAAUUUUCGAAAGUUGCCCUCGAUUUCUCAGGGUUUCCAUCAUCAGAUCCUGACCUGGUGACUAUGGGACCACCUGGGAGGUAAACCCUAUUAAACAAAAAAAAAUUUUGCAAAUCGGUCCAGGCGUCUCCGAGUAAUCGGUGAACAUACAUAAAAAAAAAAAAAAAAAAAAAAAAAAAAAAAGAUCCCGACGAAUUGAGAACCUCCUCCUUUUUGGGAAGUCGGUUAAAAA